AUGAACGCUGGCGGCGUGCCUAAUCCCUGCAAGUCGAGCGAACGGACGAGAAGCUUGCUUCUCUGAUGUUAGCGGCGGACGGGUGAGUAACACGUGGAUAACCUACCUAUAAGACUGGGAUAACUUCGGGAAACCGGAGCUAAUACCGGAUGAUAUUUUGAACCGCAUGGUUCAAAAGUGAAAGACGGUCUUGCUGUCACUUAUAGAUGGAUCCGCGCUGCAUUAGCUAGUUGGUAAGGUAACGGCUUACCAAGGCAACGAUGCAUAGCCGACCUGAGAGGGUGAUCGGCCACACUGGAACUGAGACACGGUCCAGACUCCUACGGGAGGCAGCAGUAGGGAAUCUUCCGCAAUGGGCGAAAGCCUGACGGAGCAACGCCGCGUGAGUGAUGAAGGUCUUCGGAUCGUAAAACUCUGUUAUUAGGGAAGAACAUAUGUGUAAGUAACUGUGCACAUCUUGACGGUACCUAAUCAGAAAGCCACGGCUAACUACGUG
rnacentral:rRNA from 1 species